UUGGGGGCUACAACAAAAGGGCCUGGAGCUGCUGGAGUGAGCCCAGAGGAGGCCACAAAGAAAUUCAAAGGGCUGGGAGCCCCUGUCCUCUGGAAACAGCCCCAGAGUCAGGGCUCAGCCCACAGAAAAGAAGGCUCUGGUGAGAUCUUAGAGCACUUUCCAGUACCUAAAGGGGCUGCAGGAGCUGGAGAAGAACUUUUUACAAGUCAUGGAGCUGUUAUAAACGCCAGGACAAAUUUAUUGCCAAAUUCAAUAGUUUGGUUUAUUAACAUCCAAAUUACAAAAUUUAGAAUCAAAUUAUAACAAUUUCAAACAAUAAAAACAAAACAAUACGAACCCCACAAACAGCGAAACUUACUUGACCGAAGUUCUCCCGGGAAAAGUUGAGCCAAGGGUGACCCCAGAUACACAGGACCUGGCAGUCGAUGUAUCUAACCAGGUUCACACCUUUGCUCACCUAAAGGCCCAACUUAAAUACCCUUAACUUCCCCCUUGGCAACCUUUCUCCCAUUGUUUCUCUAAUCAUCGGCCAUUAACUUUGUUUACACUAAAUCCCGAAAGGUUCCCCGGGCACAUUCAAAUGCUAAUGUCCAGAGUUAGUCCUUGCUUUGAGUAACUGUCGUAGAGGUGUGUGAUGAUCGUUGCAAGUCCCUGCUGGCACGUAGCAUUCGACCGUUGCAAGUCCCGAUGAGUUCAGCUGCACGUAGGCAGGGGUAAGUCAUCAGCGCCUCGCGUUCUCACCUUCUAUUUUGGGACCCGGAAGAUCAGGAGAGGUGCUUUACAGAAGCUCGUGCGGGUUGAGCAGACAAUAUAUAUUACAGUAAUUAUUUAUAGAACAUGAAUUAAAUAACCAUAUUUCCCACAGAGCAAUAGGACAAGGGGGAGUGGCUUUAAACUGAGAGUAGGUUCAGAUCGGAAAUGUGGGGAAAACUCUUCCCUGUGAGGGUGGUGAGGCCUGGCACAGCUGCCCAGAGAAGCUGUGGCUGCCCCAUCCCUGUAAGUGUUCAAGUCUCAGAGCAACCCGGUCUGGUGCACGGCAUCCCUACCGCCACAGAGGGUGGAAGGCGGCGAUGUUCGGGGUCGCAUCCAGCCCGGAGCGUCCCGCGGUUCUGUAGCCCGGGGCCGCGGCCCGGGCUCCGCGCCGUGCUCGAUCGACCCUGCCCGGCAGCGGCGGGCGGGGCCCGGGCCGCCUCCCUCCGCCCCCUCACGGGGAGCAGACCUCUAAUACCAGCCCAAGCCUUUCGACAAAUAUUGCAGUCGAUUUCCAAAUAUGGCCAGAGCAGGCUAAUUGCCCAAAAAAUCCUCCAAAAUAAUUGUAAGAGCCCUGGUUUGAUCCACAGCAAAUAAAUAUAAAUGGUGUUUGCUUAAUAUUCCCCUGUCCUUUAAACAAGUGAUGUUUGCCAGUGUCGAGGGAAAACACCUUAUUAUGAAAUAGCUGAAGCUGUGACCUAUCACAGAUGCUGCAGAUUAUACAGAGCAAUUAGAACAUCACAUUAGGGCUUAAUUAAUGGGUUCUGGGUAACAGGUUUUUCCCUCAGGAUCAUGGGCCAGGACCACAGCAGGGCAGGGCUGCUUGCCCACCCUCCCAGCCCUGUCUGUUCUGCCCCACAACCCUCUCAAAUCACAAAAACAUUUAGGUUGGGAAAGACCAUUGAGUUCAACCCUUAUCCCAGCGCUGCCACGAUCGCCUGUGACCCACGGCCCGAGUGUCACAUCCACACGUCCUCUGGAGGCUGCCCGUGGCUCCACACGGCCCGGGGCAGCCGCUGCGGUGCCUCAUCACCCUGCCAGUGCUGAAGCUUUCCCUGGUACCGGUCGAAACCUCCUCUGGAGCAAUUCGAGGCUGUUUGCUCUUUUUGUUGCCUGGGAGAGCGGACUGAGCCCCACCUGGCAACAACCUCCCCCAGGGAGCGGCAGAGAGAGAUUGGCCUCGUUUUCUCCAGGCUGAGCGUCCCGGCUCCCGCAGCUGUUCCUCCUCAGAGCCGUCCCCAGCUCAGGUCCCCUCUCUGGGACAGGAAAUCACCUCUGAUUUUCCUGCCAUGGGAGGCCCAGAGCAGGGCUGGGGCUCUGAGGGCGCCUCCCCAGCCCCGGGCACGGUCCCUGCUUCUGUUCCCACACUAGCCAAGCCCCAGGCCUGCAGUGACUUUGACAGAAGUGUUCCAUUUCAGACUGCCCUAAUGAGGGCCAGGAUUUGUAAUCAGAACAAAGCUAAUCAGGAGAGUUAUACUGACCAAGCCUUUCUGUGGCACGUGGCAGCAGCAGAGCUGCAGCUGGGAACCCCUGCUUGGUGAACACCAAUACACCUGCAACUCCCCUGCUUCCACAAAAAGAAGCUGUGCUGACAAACGCACAGGGAAAUCUGAAUUACAGACGAGCUUCUAUGUAAGCUAAGCCUGUCUUCAUAUACCUGCUUAAGAAAGCAGUCGGCAAAUAUUUAGAUUAUUCAGAACCUAAAGUGUAAAGUUCUGAAUUUCCUGGCUACUGCCAAAAUGAACUAGUCCUCCAAACUAUCCUCCUCCUGCCAAGAGUGACUGCUGAGAUGUUUUAAGCCACAAGAUACCAGAAGUUUCAGAAGCAUUUUCUUACACAUUCACACCUUAUCUUUUUAAUUUAGGCUAUGAAGCAGCAGUAAAUUUUCAGAAAAAAAAUCAGCUUGUUCUGUCAGCAACAACAACAAAGAAACAAGAGGAGAACAGCUU